AGGGGCAGCACAUGAGUAGCAAUACGAUGGUGGCGACCGGCGCACGGGUGCGUAACACGUAUGCAACCUACCUGUAAGAGGGGAAUAACCCGGAGAAAUUCGGACUAAUACCGCAUAAUACUAAGAAACUGCAUGGUUUUUUAGUUAAACAUUUAUGGCUUACAGAUGGGCAUGCGUAUGAUUAGCUAGUUGGUGAGGUAACGGCUCACCAAGGCAACGAUCAUUAGGGGUUCUGAGAGGAAGGUCCCCCACACUGGUACUGAGACACGGACCAGACUCCUACGGGAGGCAGCAGUGAGGAAUAUUGGUCAAUGGGCGAGAGCCUGAACCAGCCAAGUCGCGUGAAGGAUGACUGCCCUAUGGGUUGUAAACUUCUUUUGUAAGGGAAUAAAAAAAGGUACGUGUACUUUAUUGUAUGUACUUUACGAAUAAGGAUCGGCUAACUCCGUGCCAGCAGCCGCGGUAAUACGGAGGAUCCAAGCGUUAUCCGGAUUUAUUGGGUUUAAAGGGUGCGUAGGCGGACCCUUAAGUCAGUGGUGAAAGUUUGCAGCUCAACUGUAAAAUUGCCAUUGAAACUGAGGGUCUUGAGUGUAAAUGAUGUAGGCGGAAUGUGUUGUGUAGCGGUGAAAUGCUUAGAUAUAACACAGAACACCAAUUGCGAAGGCAGCUUACUGGGAUACAACUGACGCUGAAGCACGAAAGCGUGGG
rnacentral:rRNA from 1 species